AUCGCUCUACGCCCCAUGAUCCAUCUCUCGAGGCGACGGCGAGGACUUCGCCGCCCUCUCGCCCCUCCCCCGAGCCCCCUGCCUGCCCGCCCGCGCGCAUGCCCCGCGGCCCCAGCCCCAGGCCCCCCGAGGCACCCCGCGGGGCGUCCCGUGGGCGUCCCGCCCCGCGCGCCGGGUGCGCUACGCGAGAGCGAGUGCCGGCGAGGUCGGGACUACUUUCCCGCGCGCGGAGGAUUACAUCCCCUUUGAAUGGGCUCGAUACAAAGAGGGGAAACUAAUUGGAGAAACUAAUUGCGCCCCCGCCUUUCCCAAGAGACUAAGGCGUGCGCGGGGCCGGGGAGCCGCGGGGACGGGGCGCCAGGAGGCCGGAUCCCGGGAAAGCAGGGCUGUUGAGCUCGUUGGGGGGAGGGGGUCUCCGGAGGUCCCGAGGAACUGCGGGGAGCAAGAGGCAGGGGCCGCCUGUCGCGAGCUGGGUGGAUCCAGCACAAAACCGUCAUAAUUAACUUCACUAAAUGACCUCCACGCUUCUGCUUCAGUCUAAGCUUGAACAAGGCCGAGAAGAGGAGCCCUGCCCCCACCAACCUCAGGGGUUCUCCCAGACUUCCCUUCAAAGGGUGCUCCAUCCUACAGACUCCAGCCGCUGAAGCUAUGCGCCCCUUGACAACGCUGCCCGCCAGCCGCCUUGGCAGCACCCAAGGGUGGGAGCCAGGAAGGGGGCCACUGACUCAGGGAUGGGGAGCCCCGCCCCACUCGUUCCUGUCACCAAGAUCUACCCCAGACAGGAGAGAUGGACCUAUGAGAGCAGGAACAGGCAGGCCCAUCACCGCCAACACACACACACACACAGUACCCAGAGCUGGAGCUCAAGGCCGCUUCCUGCUGGGUUGUAACUGUGUGUGCCUCAUUGGACUAAAUGACCUGCCGCCCGUCCUUCUUUCCUCUUCCCUUCCUUCCUUUCCUUCUUCUCCUUCCUUCCUUCCCUCCUCCCAAUGAUGAUGAAUUUUAUUCCUGAAUCCCCAAAGCCCGGCCUUUUUCAUUUCUUUGAACAAAUGCACACCUAACAGGCAACACACCUAACCGCUCCAGUUAGAACUCAGUGACAUGUACAUUUCCCGUUAGCCUGUGAACUUUCAGCAGCAUCCCCCAUAAAAUGCAGGAAGUGUCUCCCACUUCCGGAUCCCACGGACUUUUGUAGAGCACACCUCUCCAGCCCUCCCUGUCUGUCACUGAGAAGGGAGCCUGAAAGAAGCCCUUUUUCCCAUUGCUGGGGUGGGUGUCCACACACAGCCCUUUGUGUGUCGUUUUUGUGCUGAGACAGGUUGUAAGUUGCCCGGUCCUGCCCCAAACUCACAGUCCUGCCGUGGCAUUCCCCAGUAGCUGUGAGAACAGCAGUUGCCGUACCCAUACCCCAACUACACAUGACUCACUGAGCAGAUGUAAACUGGCGCUGGCACCCAGGCUGCCUGCAGCCUGCCCAGCUUUCCGUCUUCUCUCCUUGCUCCCGUUGUGGCCCCUCACCCCGUCCCCAGCUUGUGACCACCUCUCAUUUCGCUCUCUUCCCUGCUUGACACAAAUCCUGGCCUGGCAUCCACUCUCCCUUCACCCUGCACCCUGGCACAGAGCCCCGCCGCCUUCAUGCAUUAUCAGCUGCCUGGGAUGACCCUGGGUCAGGGUUUCCCCUCCUGCUGCUCAGAGACCCAUCUGCACCUGCCUCUCCCUCCAAGACUCCUCACCUCUGUUCUUGCUGGGGUCACAUGGCCUGCGGCCAGGCCAGGCCAUGUGUCCCGGUGCCACCAAGCCCCUCAGCAGCACCUGAGUAGGCCACCAGCAACUCCCUCCCUCCCUGGAUGCCAAGACCCUGUCCAGUCCUGUCCCUCUGCUCACCCUGGACUCCUUCACUGUCUCCACCCCUCCUUCCACCCUAUGGUUUCUGGGUUCCCGCUCACUCGGCCUUUACUGCUUCUCUGUGCCCAGAGCAUAGGUGAUGCUCAAUAGAUAGUUGUUAAGGGGGCUGGAGAUUUAGCUCAGAGGCAUAAGUGCCUGCGUUGCAAGCAGGCAGUCGUGAAUUCGAUCCCCGGUAACGAUAAAAAGGAAAAAGACCAAAAAAAGAAUAGUUAAGGUAGGUAUACUACUGAUUUCUCUGGGUUCACUGAAGAGAAAGAUUUGUGCCAAUAUUGUUAAGCCAGUUGAAUGCAGAUGUCUUGUGCUCGGGGUGAGUGGUUUGGGAUGACAGUGUGCAGCAUAUGUACCAUUGUUGCCCCCAAUUGUCUGUUUGGAAAUUUUUAGGGGUUUUUUGGCUCUUUUGUUUUCUCCUUGAAAUAAAAUGGAUUUGGGAAAAAAGA